rnacentral:lncRNA from 1 species
CUGUGUGGCCUUGCGGGGGCCCCUCGAUUCCCAGCCAGUGACAGGGAAUCUACGCAGCACCAGUCCGAGGCGCUGUGUGAGACCGGGCUGGAGACCUUUGGCCAAGCAGCUACGGAAGGCCAGGGCAAGGGUUCUCAUGGGCCUCAUUGCCCAAGGAAGGGGCUGUUGCUAGUGGAAUGAAGGCUGUUGCAGGAGAGGUUUACCAAAUCAGAAGAUCCUCUUCUAUAAGCUUUUCUCUCUCUCUCCCUGCACUCAGGGAGCACUUUCCUGUAGAUCCCCUUUCCUGUAGGGCCACAGCUGAGCCGAGCAUGCCAGCACUGAGAAGGAAACUCUCUCCUUCUCUAGAAUCAUGGUUCUAUUCACUGUGUCUAUCCAUGUGGCAACUCCCACAGGAAUUUGUCAGACUUCAAGUUAGCCAAGAAGAGUUCCUAUGUAUGAAAGCUCUAUUACUUCUCAACACAAGAAAAAACAAUUUGUCAGAUCUUUGGGAAAAGGAACACACCUAACCGUUGUUGCUGAGACAUUUAGUAAAUGUUUGGUACUGUAUAAAUACAAUACUCUCCACAAAACUGUGUUCAAAAAAACAUAUAACUUGAUUGUUGCUUUAUAGUGGUUUUUUUUAAGACUGUUUUUAUUUCAGUCAUGCUAUUCACCUUAAUCCUCUUCAAAUGUGAAAGUAUGGCCAUUUCAAACUUUCAUAUACUAACAGUAAAUCAAGUCUGAACUUCUAGUCUCUCAUUCUGUCUUCUAUUUAAUUUAUUAUUUAGAUGAACUAGUUUUACUUUUUAUAUCAUAUUAAAGAAACGUAAUUUGUAUUUAACAUAAAUGUCAAUAUCAAUACAUUUCUAAUUCUGAAUGGAAACCCCAACUUAAGUUUUAACAUUAUUUUAAAUUUUACCUUUUUCCUUUGAGUUUGCUGUGGUUUAGUUUUUUCACUGCACUUGUGACAGUUUUAAAGCUGUCUUGAAAGUAGAAGUAGUCAUUGCAAAAUGUGGACCAACUUUUUCAUUUUCUAUAAUUGUUUCCAUUUUACAGUUCCUUAUAUGCUUUACAUAUUUACGCAUUUUAUAUGCUGUGCUGUUACAAUGCCCCAAAGUUCUCAACAGGACUCCAUCUAGCAGAUGCUGCAUACAUCUAGGAAGUAGAACUCUAAAUAGUUCAGAACGAACAGGGUUUAUGAAAGUAGAGCUAUGCCAGAAAAGAGAAAUAAUCUCAUAGCAAGGUCAGUUUUAACUCCAAUGUUCAGAUUUUUUGAUUUAGAGGAAUUACAAAAACCUUGCUGCAUAAGAUUUUGACUGGGUUAUUGCCAGUGAAUAAAAGUGCUGGCGUUCUUGACUUAUAUUCA